rnacentral:rRNA from 1 species
GUUAAGCGACUAAGCGUACACGGUGGAUGCCCUGGCAGUCAGAGGCGAUGAAGGACGUGCUAAUCUGCGAUAAGCGUCGGUAAGGUGAUAUGAACCGUUAUAACCGGCGAUUUCCGAAUGGGGAAACCCAGUGUGAUUCGUCACACUAUCAUUAACUGAAUCCAUAGGUUAAUGAGGCGAACCGGGGGAACUGAAACAUCUAAGUACCCCGAGGAAAAGAAAUCAACCGAGAUUCCCCCAGUAGCGGCGAGCGAACGGGGAGCAGCCCAGAGCCUGAAUCAGUGUGUGUGUUAGUGGAAGCGUCUGGAAAGGCGCGCGAUACAGGGUGACAGCCCCGUACACAAAAAUGCACAUACUGUGAGCUCGAUGAGUAGGGCGGGACACGUGGUAUCCUGUCUGAAUAUGGGGGGACCAUCCUCCAAGGCUAAAUACUCCUGACUGACCGAUAGUGAACCAGUACCGUGAGGGAAAGGCGAAAAGAACCCCGGCGAGGGGAGUGAAAAAGAACCUGAAACCGUGUACGUACAAGCAGUGGGAGCACGCUUAGGCGUGUGACUGCGUACCUUUUGUAUAAUGGGUCAGCGACUUAUAUUCUGUAGCAAGGUUAACCGAAUAGGGGAGCCGAAGGGAAACCGAGUCUUAACUGGGCGUUAAGUUGCAGGGUAUAGACCCGAAACCCGGUGAUCUAGCCAUGGGCAGGUUGAAGGUUGGGUAACACUAACUGGAGGACCGAACCGACUAAUGUUGAAAAAUUAGCGGAUGACUUGUGGCUGGGGGUGAAAGGCCAAUCAAACCGGGAGAUAGCUGGUUCUCCCCGAAAGCUAUUUAGGUAGCGCCUCGUGAAUUCAUCUCCGGGGGUAGAGCACUGUUUCGGCAAGGGGGUCAUCCCGACUUACCAACCCGAUGCAAACUGCGAAUACCGGAGAAUGUUAUCACGGGAGACACACGGCGGGUGCUAACGUCCGUCGUGAAGAGGGAAACAACCCAGACCGCCAGCUAAGGUCCCAAAGUCAUGGUUAAGUGGGAAACGAUGUGGGAAGGCCCAGACAGCCAGGAUGUUGGCUUAGAAGCAGCCAUCAUUUAAAGAAAGCGUAAUAGCUCACUGGUCGAGUCGGCCUGCGCGGAAGAUGUAACGGGGCUAAACCAUGCACCGAAGCUGCGGCAGCGACGCUGAUGCGUUGUUGGGUAGGGGAGCGUUCUGUAAGCCUGUGAAG